rnacentral:rRNA from 1 species
GAUGAACGCUGGCGGCGUGCCUAACACAUGCAAGUCGAGCGAACAGACGAGGAGCUUGCUCCUCUGACGUUAGCGGCGGACGGGUGAGUAACACGUGGAUAACCUACCUAUAAGUCUGGGAUAACUUCGGGAAACAGGAGCUAAUACUGGAUAAUACAUUCAACCGCAUGGUUCAAUGGUGAAAGGGGGUUUGGCUGUCACUAAUAGAUGAAGCCGCGCCGGAUUAGCUAGGUGGUAAGGUAACGGCCUACCAAGGCAACGAUGCGUAGCCGACCUGAGAGGGUGAUCGGCCACACUGGAACUGAGACACGGUCCAGACUCCUACGGGAGGCAGCAGUAGGGAAUCUUCGGCAAUGGGCGAAAGCUUGACGGAGCAACGCCGCGUGAGUGAUGAAGGUCUUCGGAUCGUAAAGCCCUUUUAUUAGGGAAGAACAACUGUGUGAGUAACUCUGCACGUCUUGACGGUACCUAAUGAAAAAGCCACGGCUAACUACGUG